UACGCAUACGCUCUACGGAGGAAAGAGGGGCUUCGGGCUCUCGCUAUUGGAUGGGCCUGCGUGAGAUUAGCUAGUUGGUGAGGUAAUGGCUCACCAAGGCGACGAUCUCUAGCUGGUCUGAGAGGAUGAUCAGCCACACUGGGACUGAGACACGGCCCAGACUCCUACGGGAGGCAGCAGUGGGGAAUAUUGCACAAUGGGCGCAAGCCUGAUGCAGCCAUGCCGCGUGUGUGAAGAAGGCUUUCGGGUUGUAAAGCACUUUCAGUGGGGAGGAAGGCCUCGUAGUUAAUAGCUGCGAGGAUUGACGUUACCCACAGAAGAAGCACCGGCUAACUCCGUG
rnacentral:rRNA from 1 species